rnacentral:lncRNA from 1 species
AUGCCGAUUGCCGCCAGCCGCGACGCGAGUCGGGGGACUUGGGCCGUUGGUUUCCCGGAAUGGCCGGCCACCACACCACCGAGGCGAGGCGACUACUACUACUUGUCGGUCCUGGACCUUGACUCGCUCUCUCCUCUCGCCGUCUCGCGGCGGCGGCGGCUGCUGUCCGAGUGGCCGUGCGUCGCGUGGUGGAGGUCACUGGCGGAAGCCCGCAAAGUAUUAGCCGGAUUCGGGUGGCGGCGCGGAUUCAGGCAGAUGGCGGCGUGGGCCCUCUUGCUCGCGUCGGCAAGGGCGACGGCGACGCUGGACCGACGGACAAUGGCGGUG